rnacentral:tRNA from 1 species
GGGCCGUAGCUCAGUUGGUAGAGCGCUUGAAUGGCAUUCAAGAGGUCAGGGGUUCGAUUCCCCUCGGCUCC